rnacentral:rRNA from 1 species
AACGAACGCUGGCGGCAUGCCUAACACAUGCAAGUCGAACGAGACCUUCGGGUCUAGUGGCGCACGGGUGCGUAACGCGUGGGAACCUGCCCUUAGGUUCGGAAUAACUCCCCGAAAGGGGUGCUAAUACCGGAUAAUGUCUUCGGACCAAAGAUUUAUCGCCUUUGGAUGGGCCCGCGUUGGAUUAGCUAGUUGGUAGGGUAAAAGCCUACCAAGGCGACGAUCCAUAGCUCGUCUGAGAGGAUGAUCAGCCACACUGGGACUGAGACACGGCCCAGACUCCUACGGGAAGCAGCAGUGGGGAAUAUUGGACAAUGGGCGAAAGCCUGAUCCAGCAAUGCCGCGUGAGUGAUGAAGGCCUUAGGGUUGUAAAGCUCUUUUACCCGGGAUGAUAAUGACAGUACCGGGAGAAUAAGCUCCGGCUAACUCCGUG